AGUUUCCCCAUGCAUAAUGGCUUGUUUGCAAAUUUCUCUUUCAGUGUGUGAAGCAGAUGCCUUUUGUAUGAGCCUGAAGUGGAGGAUGUGCAUGAAGAACACAUAACUCACUCCACCCACUGAGAGGUCAUUUGCCUAGUGGGCAAUCUAGUAAAGUAGCUAUGUGUCAAAGGAUUUGCUAACAGCUGGAGAUAUUUGAAAAUGCAACCUCUUCCUUUCGUUGAGAAAGAAUUGGCCUGUAGCCCUUGCAAUAUUGCAGAGAUUUGAGGCUGCACUAACUCACAUUAGCUGACAUGUUCCUCAAGUUGAGAGCAAGCACUUGGACAAGUGUCAGAGGCUGACUCUCCAAACGGUGAGUUGAUCAUCUCAACAAGCCUGUAAUUUCUAGGUUAAGAAAUCUGUGACCCCUCUCCUUGUUUUCUCUCUCUUUUU